rfam:Acholeplasma laidlawii PG-8A, complete genome.
GGGGCCGUUUAUGGAUUUGCCGGGGCCUGGAAUCUAUUAUAUGCAUGUAGCGGUAGUGCGCUUAAAAACACGAGGUUAUAAUAACCGGAAACCAAACACAAACUUUAGCAUUUGCUUAAUUAAGACAAAUUGCUUGGCACUCUAAUAGUUUACAUGUGACUUUAGACUUGCCUCAGUAAAGCAUGUUAUGGUUAUACAUAUGUCUAGGUGUAUAGCAUGAAAAUUCGAAACUAGCCUCGUACUUGCUAAUUUUGUUAAUUUACUAAGCGGUAUUAAAUUAUUAAAUUGACUAAACAUGUAGAUUAUAAUAGAAGAAAAGUCUCGUACAUGGGUUCGACUCCCAUCGGUUCCACCA